GAUGAACGCUGGCGGCGUGCCUAAUACAUGCCAGUCGAGCGAACAGACGAGGAGCUUGCUCCUCUGACGUUAGCGGCGGACGGGUGAGAAACACGUGGAUAACCUACCUAUAAGACUGGGAUAACUUCGGGAAACCGGAGCUAAUACCGGAUAAUAUAUUGAACCGCAUGGUUCAAUAGUGAAAGACGGUUUUGCUGUCACUUAUAGAUGGAUCCGCGCCGCAUUAGCUAGUUGGUAAGGUAACGGCUUACCAAGGCAACGAUGCGUAGCCGACCUGAGAGGGUGAUCGGCCACACUGGAACUGAGACACGGUCCAGACUCCUACGGGAGGCAGCAGUAGGGAAUCUUCCGCAAUGGGCGAAAGCCUGACGGAGCAACGCCGCGUGAGUGAUGAAGGUCUUCGGAUCGUAAAACUCUGUUAUUAGGGAAGAACAAAUGUGUAAGUAACUAUGCACGUCUUGACGGUACCUAAUCAGAAAGCCACGGCUAACUACGUG
rnacentral:rRNA from 1 species